AUACUUACUUGGUGUUGGGUUUGCGAUGAUCACUAAGAUCGCAACUCCGUGCUGAGGCCUUCCAUUGCACUGCGGGAGGCUGAAGCGCGCCUCCUUCCCCAAACUGGGGUCGGAGGAGCAUUCAAUUUUUGGUAGUGGGGCUGGCGUAUACGCGCCAGCCCCGG